GCUCUCCAAGAAGGACCCGCCUACCGGAAAUAGAGGCUCUCACAUGAGGAAGAUAAGCGUUUAGCGUGGUUUUAGCCCACCGCUGGAAACCGGUUGUAAAGGACAAAAUGGAUGAAAGUGGGAGCGAAGGCGCUGAGUGGACUCAGGAACACUUCCUCCUGCUUUUCGCCAGGAUUAAAUCCAGCAUCCAGGACCCUGACAGAACGCUGGCAUACAGCCAGUCGCUGAAGAAUAUGGACUGGAAAGAGGUGGCGUUCUCUCCGUUCUCUGCCGAAGCGUGCCAACAGAAGUGGACCGACGUUAUGCACAAGCUGUCUAAGACUCGGACCCUCACAGAGCUCGUCAAUGUCGCUGAAGACAUCGUUUCCAAUCCGGCCAAGAACUAUAAGGCGCAUCCAGAGCACCCGAAGAGACCGCCCCCUCCAAACGCCUUCUUCAUCAAGGAACACAGUACAGCGUAUCAGAUGAAGCACCCAAACCUGAGCAGGCAAAUGGUGUUGAAGAAGCUAGUCAGGAAGUACAAUAAGCUCCCCGCGGAAGAAAAGAAUAAAUAUCUGGAUAAACAUAAACAGGCAUCCAUGGAAUACAAAGAAGCGAUGCAGAUGUUCAGUAAACGCUAUAAACCAAGCCAGAAGACCACCGAGACUCCGGAAGGAGUUUCUCCCAAGCCGGUUUUAAGUGGAUACCAUCUAUUCUGCCAAGAGCAGUGUUCUUCCACGAGCACUGUUAGAGGUGAUUCUUUUGCUCAGUCUGCCAAAAGAUGGCAAACUAUGUCUGACAAACAGAAGGAAGUGUACAACCAACGGCAUGAAGAGCUGCUGUCACAGUAUUUGGACGAGAUGAAUCAAUACUCACAGAAAUUUAGUAAGGUGAAGCAGCGGGAGUUCCUUAAAGAAUAUCGCAUCGCAAAAACUAUGACCGAUCAAAAACGUAAAAACAAAUUCCCUGGGGAGCCCGAGAUGCCAAAUAGAUUUGGAAGAACAAUUUUCUACAAACAACAGAUGUUACUUCUCUGUAAAAAAGUCCCAAACUCGAGGGAACGCUUAUCCACGGUCAACAAACUGUGGAAGAGCCUCCAGCCGGAGGAGAAGCAACGCUACAAAAUGCAAGCAUCUGAAGAAGUUGUGAGAUACUCCAUGGAGCUUCAGAAUUGGUUUGAGACUUUGCCAGAAGAACAGCAGGUCAUUUUUUGGACAAAGAACCCCAUGAAAGUCAAAUACCUCAAGUGUGAAGAACAACUAACCUACAGACCAUCAAUUUAAUUACAGGAUUCAGAGGAUGAACUCACUCAGGACAGCACUGAUGGGGAGCUUGAGGAGGUGGAGGAAGAAGACAACAAAGAUUUCAUCAGUUUUGAGGCGUUUUAACGGGAUAGAUGUCCGAUCAUCACGCACCUCCCCGUUCAGAGCAGAAAUCUUCUCGUAUCUAACUUUAAUGCCACAUUUAUCAUGUGGUUGCCAUGUUGGCUGGAAAGUAGCCACAAGUACUCCGAUGUGUUGGCUGGAUUACAGGAGGCCACACAAUAGUUUGUUGUGAUACUGUGUUUUAAAAUUCUGAAAUUAUUUUGCAAAUCAGCUUCAAAUAUCUACAUCUCGGCUGUUUAGCAGAAAAAAAGCUAUUUGUGUCUUGGUUCUUAAAGGUGUAUCCUGCUUUAUAGACUAUUUUUGGAUGGGAUAUAGUAAAAAUAGCAUUGCAUGGCAAAUGUGUUUUAAGCCAUGUAUAUUUUGCCCACCUUUACUUAAAUGUUAUUUAUAGUUUGUUAUUCUGCCUUUUGGAAUUUAAACUUAAAUUACUGUGGAGCACAAUUUUUACAGGUUUUGUUACAGGUUGUAAUUGUGGAUAAACAAGAAUAUAGCUUGUCAUACUCUUCUUUUUUUGUGUGUAUAAAAAUCAAACAUGUUGAAUAAAUUUAUAUGCACAAACUA